rnacentral:other from 1 species
UUAGCCAUGGCGUUAGUAUGAGUGUCGUGCAGCCUCCAGGACCCCCCCCUCCCGGGAGAGCCAUAGUGGUCUGCGGAACCGGUGAGUACACCGGAAUUGCCAGGACGACCGGGUCCUUUCUUGGAUUAACCCGCUCAAUGCCUGGAGAUUUGGGCGUGCCCCCGCGAGACGCGUAGCCGAGUAGUGUUGGGUCGCGAAAGGCCUUGUGGU